rnacentral:sRNA from 1 species
UGCCCCCCAGGCCCUUCCCCACGGAGGUCCCUCUUCUCCUUCCCCAUCAUCUCCCCUUCCUGGGACAGAAAGUACCUCCACCUGCAUCUCCAGGUGCCCGGCCUCCAGGGCCCGCUGGCCCCACAGCAGGCAAGCUGAGAUGACGGUCAAGCUGGAUUUCGAGGAGUGUCUCAAGGACUCACCCCGUUUCCGAGCCUCUAUUGAGCUGGUGGAAGCCGAAGUGUCAGAACUGGAGACCCGUCUGGAAAAGCUCCUGAAACUGGGCACUGGUCUCCUGGAAAGCGGGCGUCAUUACCUUGCUGCCAGCCGCGCCUUCGUUGUUGGCAUUUGUGACCUGGCCCGCCUGGGUCCACCAGAGCCCAUGAUGGCGGAGUGUCUGGAAAAAUUCACCGUGAGCCUGAACCACAAGCUGGACAGCCAUGCGGAGCUUCUAGAUGCCACCCAACACACACUGCAGCAGCAGAUCCAGACCCUGGUCAAGGAGUGAGAUGGGGCCGGGCGCAGUGGCUCAUGCCUGUAAUCCCAACACUUUGGGAGGCCAAGGCGGGAGGACUGCUUGAGCCCAGGAGUUCGACACCAACCUAGCCAACAUGGCGAAACUGUCUGCACAAAAAAUACAAAAAUUAGGCCGGGCACGGUGGCUCAUGCCUAUGAUUCCGGCAUUUUGGGAGGCCAAGGCGGGAGGAUCACCUGAGGUUGGGAGUUGAGACCAGCCUGUCUAACGUGGCAAAACCCCAGCUCUACUAAAAAAUACGAAAAAA